rnacentral:rRNA from 1 species
UACGGAGGGAGCUAGCGUUGUUCGGAAUUACUGGGCGUAAAGCGCGCGUAGGCGGCUUUGUAAGUUAGAGGUGAAAGCCCGGGGCUCAACCCCGGAACUGCCUUUAAAACUGCAUCGCUUGAAUCCGGGAGAGGUGAGUGGAAUUCCGAGUGUAGAGGUGAAAUUCGUAGAUAUUCGCAAGAACACCAGUGGCGAAGGCGGCUCACUGGCCCGUAACUGACGCUGAGGCACGAAAGCGUGGGGAGCAAACAGG